UCAUUAGCAGUAAGAGGACUGUGAGAGACCAAAACGUGUGAUAGGCAUCACUGGCAACAUCAUGCUGCAUCUUCUUGUGUUCUCUAAUGUCCUCAGCACUGUCUUUUCAGCCAUGCCAAUGAGCAAAUAACUUUGUGUGGUGCCUUCUCACAGUGAGGCCUGAGUUUGUCCUAACAUCUGGAAGAAGUGACAAGCUGCAGUCACCAAAGUUGAUAACCCGGAUUCAGAGGCUCUGAAACUUCCUCAAGUGCUCCUGAAGUCUCAGGGACAGCAAACGUAAAACAGAUGCUAAUGUCAAGAGGGUGGAGUUUGAUUGGGAAUUGUGAUGGUUAAAGAUGAGAAGAAGAAAAAAUAAAGCCCAGAGGAAGAGUUAAGGCUGAAUAACAGACAACUAGGUGUUGAAAUACAGAAGAGGAAGUGGAGUGUGAAUAUGAGCAACGGGGCUAUGUGAGAAAGGGAACAGCGAAGACCUGGAGAACACAGCAAAGGUUCAAGUAAUUGCAGAAUGUUAAAGGGAGCUGCAAUGGGAAGGAGGCAACAAAAUGCACCUGAGGAUCAAAUGGCUACGUUAUGUAUCACUGGAUUUCUGGGGGAUGCAUUUGAGAUAUUGCAAAUAUUUUAUGAUUGUGUAGUGUUACAAUUGUCUGUAUAGAAAAGAACCAAGUUUGUCCUAGGACUGGAAUACAUAGUGCACUGAGCUUUCAAAAUAGAAUGGAAGACAACAUCAAGGAAAACUACAGUGUUUGAAACUUGCUGUUUAAAACAUUCUAAUAUUAUUAGAUUUUUAUGUUUUAGUAUGCCUAUACUUUACCAAUGCAGUGCAGUGGAGUGGAAGUGAAUUUGUUAGCUGUUUUCAUAUUUUUGAUAUAUACGUAUAUAUACAUUUAAACUGGAGAGGAGGCUUUUGGUAGAAUAAUUUUGCUUAGAUCUAGUCACAGUGCCUUGCAUGUGGGAAUCAUUAGGAAUGUGAGAUUAAGAGCCUAUCAACUGAAGGCAAUAAAAUCAAUUUUAAAC
rnacentral:lncRNA from 7 species